GGCCACACCCGAGAUGAAAAAAAAGAGCGAACUCCCUCGUCCAAUUCUAAUCAGGGGCGAGUAAUAAUCGGAAAAAAAAUAAAAAAAACCAGGGGCGGAGUGGACGAGGGGUGCGAGCUCCGAGCGGCGGUUGGGCUCCGGCGUCGUGAUGCUCCACGGCGUUGGGAGCGGCACGUGGGAUCGACGUCUCUAGAGGGUGGUCUUAGUUUCGGGCAACGCGGCGGGCCGAGCCGUCGUGUUGCGACGUCGGUAGUGCUUGGCGUCAGGGCUGCAUCUCCCGUGUGGACGGCCCCUCGUCGGCACAGUCGCCGGCGACGAACACUCGGCCGAAGACGGGGCCGCGCCAUGAACCAGGGUUUAGCGGCGUCCUCGGCUGGACGACAAGCUGGUCGUGGGUGGGCGGCGCGGCGAGUCGUGUCUACUUCUUGAAGAGGGUACAGUGGUGGUUGGCAUUCUACAUGAUGCGGGCGGUAUCUCCUCCUACGACAACGGUCGGCAACUAGCUGUUUGCAGCCCUCCGUCAUUUUACAUGAGUAUGUCUUGAUUUACUCUCCCAUGCGAAAUAUUUGCUUGAAUUAAGUUAGAUCAGUAAGAAAACUAGGUAGCAGAAUUAGGAUGGAUUACGUCCCCAAAUAUAUUUCUUUUGGGCAUAGCUAUCAUACAAGCUUACAUCAGAUUGGCAGCUGUUCAUUUCUACAAAAUUCUGGUGUAGUGUUGUGAUUUCCCAGAUGAGUGUUGUGUUAUGUGAAAAUUAUCAUUAAACAUAUGUGAAUAGGAGAAAAAAAUGUAAAAUAGCACAAAACAGAUACAUCCAGCAAGGUAUUUUCUAUGGAAUGGUUUCAAUGCUCAAUGUUAUGAAAAACACAUCCGCAUGCACAUUACAUAUGGAGCACGAUGCGCCGCCUAGAACUAGUCAGAUAUUUUACUUUGCACGAAAUUUGGUGAUCUUAACCACAGAAAAUAAAAAAAUACCUCAAAUGUAUUUUCAUUACUAUCAAAUUUAAUGUGAUUUGAUUGUUAUUAUCGGGGAGGUGAUACGUUCUAUUUUGCAAGCGUUCAUAGGACCAAAGCCAGAGUUUACAGCAGUUAUGGGAGAAAACAAAGAAGGGUGGGGAUUAGGACCCAGCGGCCACAGACGAAAUCUGAACCCAAAGUACCAAACCACGUUUCGUUUUGUUUUUUAGGCCCCUAUGCUUCUAGAACUAUUAUCCAAUUUGAUGGCUGCUACUUGGUGCGUGUGCUGGGUGUCCAUGAGGUACUUCUCGGCAGCAGCAUUGCCUCUCAAUUUGCCAACAAGAUCCAUUCAGAUUGUUUAAUCACUGACUCUAGGAUCCAUGCCUACUCUAGGUAGAACUUCAGUAAGCUGCAGAAAUAAACAAUAGAAAGGGUAAAGAACCACUAAGCAUGCCAUUUACCUGAUAUGGCCCAGAUUGUUUUAUUUGAACACCAUAUGGUCCAAAUUGUAACCAAGUAAAACUGCAUGCUCGUCAAAUUUUGUAUGAUGAAACCAUAAUAUUAGCACUCUGAAUGCACGUUUUGAUUGACUACUACCCUGGAUGUCAUCCAUGUUAUUAGCUAUGUUUUGUUACAGGGGAUUUUGGGUACUGCCUGGAUGUGUUGCUUGAGCAGAAGACUUCCAUGUUUUUGUUCAUAGACCGUGUCAUUCUUAUUUUUCUUGUACUUAUCAUGUACUCCCUCCGUCCCAUAAUAUAAGAACGUUUUUGACACUAGUGUAGUGUCAACAACGUUCUUAUAUUAUGGGACAGAGGGAGUAGAUGUCAUGGUUUAUGGAAGAGUGUUCGGUUCAGCCAUAUACCAUAUACAUGUUGCCUAACAAGUUUGUUUUCUCAAUACAGAAGCUGUACAAUUAUAUGAAACUGAAAAUAUUUAGUUUUCUGGCCAUAACUCUGAAUUUUUAGUGACUUGUUGCUUCAUUAUGUGGUCAAUUUUUGGUUGCUACUAGCUUGCUGUAAUAUAGACUGUUGACUUGGACGAUAUAAUUUAUCAUGUUCCUUAAAAAAAAUUAUGUACAAUUUCUUCUCAUGGAUGUUAAUUAUCAUGUCAAGCUUUAAGCUCACACUCUUGGAGAUUUUUUGUUUACGAGGAGAAAUCAGAGGUUUGAGGUUCCUUUUGUUACUGUAUAGUUCUCUCAUUUUGAUCAUUAACAUAAUUCAAUUAGUUUUUGUUCUCAUCGGUCUACGACAUCAGUCGGAUUCAGAAAUUACGCUGGGUAAAACCUAUGUGUUUUGUAGUCUUUUUUUACGUUCCUUUUUGUCGUAAAAUUACAUCAAUAGCAUCUGGUUUCUUACAGCGAUUACCCUGGUUUAGUUCCUCACACAUCCACAACGUAACUUGCCUUGCAUGCACAUCGUAAGAUUACCUCAGAAGCCCUUUCUUACGGUGGUUCAGAGCGUGUGCUCGUGGGUGUGGCAUGUGGUUCGUCUGUGAGGUAAAUUUACGUUCAACUCUUUCUUUCCUAGUGGUUGUGGCUGUGGCGUGUGAUUCGGCUGGGGUGAGAUUCUUCACCCUGGGUGACGAAUAGCGAUUGACUCUGUGGGUUCAUCAUCACAAUACGCUUUUUUCCAUGAAUUUACGCUUUCAGUUCAAAUUUAAAACAUAUACGUGAUGUGGUACUAAAUUUCAUCCGUCCAGUUUCGUUUUCACAGCUUCCUAUCAGAUGGGCCAGAAAAUUUGCUAUGGGCCACGAGCCGCUGCCUACCCGGCUCCAGCCGAAUGCGCGCCGGCCGCUCUGGCAUGGCGGCGGGUUCAGCCUCGGCGUGGACCUAAAUGCUUCAUUUUUACAAAAAAAAAAUAUAUGUUUGUUUGAAAUACAGUCUGCAGUCCUCUAAUUCAUCUUAUCCAAACUUCUACCUUUCCAGCAACGCCGGAGGCAGUUGACGGGCGGCGCCCCUGUCGUCGGACGGCUACAACGGUGAUGGAGGAGAAGGUGGACGUCGUGGGUGCGUGCUUGGGUAAGGGAGGCCACCCUUGCUGUGCUCGUGGGCGUUCAUGGAGGAUGGAAGGGGGGACAACUUCCUGUGGAUGCGCAGGCUAUGCUCGUGGGUGUUCAUGGAGGAUGGAAGAUGCAGCAGGCAGUGCAGAUGUACCAUAUUCUGAAUUUUGAAUCUUGUCUCCUGAACUACUCCUCGCCGCCACCACUUCUACUACCGGUGGUAACCCUCGUCGCCACACCUGGAACCGGUUGUCCGUCAAUAGAAGGCGGUCUGUGUCCAUGCUCCGCUGAUCACCCAGUCACAUCCUCUGUAUGUGGAGAAUGCCUUUAUUCUUCUGUUUGAAAAAUCUGAAAUUCUGAAGCAACCGUAUUGGUUCACACAUGCACCAUCUUGGUAUUAACCAAAUCGAACAUCAACAAAAUAAAAGCAGACAAUAGAGAUACUAAUGUGAACCUGUGUGCAUUAUAUAGAAAUUUUGGUUGUUACUCCUUGUAGUACUUAUCUUCCGAUACAUGUACAGAACUCAUGUUUUUCUUUAGUAUUCAUCUUCCUGUACACGUACAGAAUUGAUGCACGGAAGAACAUCAUAUGGAAGACAGGCUCCAUUCAGUCAA